rnacentral:misc_RNA from 1 species
GAGUUCAUGCCCUUCGGGGUAGACCUCCCACCCUAUGUAUACAUUGCCUUUGUUGCUUUGGCGGACCGCCUUCGGGCCACCGGCUCCGGCUGGUGCGCGUCCGCCAGAGGACCAAACUCUGAAUAUUAGUGAUGUCUGAGUACUAUAUAAUAGUUAAAACUUUCAACAACGGAUCUCUUGGUUCU